UUAGUCUACACAAAAAAGACACAAAAAAAAUCGCUCAAACCCUACCCUCCUCUCUUCUCCCAUCGACUCUUCUCCCAUUCGUCUCUUCGCCCAUCCAACAGUCCUCUCCCAAUCACCACCACGACCAUCACCACAGUCCUCUCCCCUCCGUCAGCCUCUACACCUUAUCUCUGCCUACCUCGUCUCCGUCUACCUUGUCUCCUCCUCGGCACCGUAAUAUCUCUCUCUCUUUCCCUCUCUCUGCAAAACCCAAGUCUCUGUUCAAGUCUAGCUUCUUCGAUUUCUUCAUCCUGAAACCCUAAUUUCACACAAUGAAGAAUAAAGGUAUAGGUUUCAAGGGUGUUAAACAAAGAGAGCUCUAAUCGGAGCGGGUGGUCAGAUCCUGUUCUACCCGACUCUUAUGUACAAUCUCCUCCGCUUCAAGCUACAGUCUCAGUUUCGAUGGUGGGAUCAAAAACUUCCCCAGUCUCGUGUUUCUAAACCUUUUAUGUCUAUUUGUGGAGUGUUUGAUGGUUGCAGAUUUUUGUUUUAGAUUUAUGAAAUGGAGCAUCUAGUGAUACUAACACGAGAUUACCUCUUUGCUCCUUCUAUUGCAGAAUAACCCGAGCUAUGGACUUCAUUCACAGCUUUGCUCCGUAAAACAACUUACGUCCAUUGUGGGUGUCUGCUUGAUAAGACCGCGGGUGGGAACAGAACCAAGGCUAGGAAAGUACUUUGUCUAAAGAGUCUCAGCCACUUAAGCUUAAGACUGAAAAGAGUCUCAAUCAAAUUCUUGGAUCAGGAAGAGGGAGUAGCCAUGUCUCAUGAGGAAAAACGAGUUGAAGAAUCUAUGGAUGUCUGGAGAAGACUUACUUUGCAUGGUGAUCAUAUUGCUAAUGGUCCUAGCUUGAAGACACUGAUGAAUCUUGUGCGGAUUCAAGAUAUCAUUCUUAUCAGCGACAACUUUGAUGCUAAGCUGAUGGGGGGCGUCAGCUUGGGAUAUUUUUUCUGAGAGAUAUAUCAGCUAACAAUCUAAGCGUCCUUCAAUGGAGAGUUUAUCAUGGAGAAGAAGAUGAAGGAGAAGAAGAAGAAGAAGAAAGUUAUGGUUUAUUUUUUUUUCGUUUGACUUAGACUUUUUAUUUAUUUUUGUUUUAGCUUUGUAAACUGAAAUUUAAUUGUAAAUCAAUUUCAGCUUAUAAAUAAAAUUUAUUUUAUUUUAAUAUAA